rnacentral:tRNA from 1 species
GUCCUGGUGGCACAAUGGUUAUGUGCUCAGCUGCUAACUGAAAGGCCGGCGGGUCAAACCCACCCACGACA